rnacentral:rRNA from 1 species
UACAGAGGGGGCAAGCGUUGUUCGGAAUUACUGGGCGUAAAGGGCGCGUAGGCGGCCUGUUAAGUCGAACGUGAAAUCCCCGGGCUCAACCCGGGAACUGCGUCCGAUACUGGCAGGCUUGAAUUCGGGAGAGGGAUGUGGAAUUCCAGGUGUAGCGGUGAAAUGCGUAGAUAUCUGGAGGAACACCGGUGGCGAAGGCGGCAUCCUGGACCGAUAUUGACGCUGAGGCACGAAAGCGUGGGGAGCAAACAGG